GUGUUCCCCGGCGGGGCCUGCCCGGCCCCGCGCGGGACGGGGCCGGGUGCGGUGCGAACGGCGGGGCCGUCCUGCCCGGCCGGGAGCGCGC
rnacentral:tRNA from 1 species